AGCCUGAUGCAGCGACGCCGCGUGAGGGAUGACGGCCUUCGGGUUGUAAACCUCUUUCAGAAGGGAAGAAGCUCUUCGGGGUGACGGUACCUGCAGAAGAAGCGCCGGCUAACUACGUGCCAGCAGCCGCGGUAAUACGUAGGGCGCAAGCGUUGUCCGGAAUUAUUGGGCGUAAAGAGCUCGUAGGCGGUCUGUCGCGUCUGCUGUGAAAACGCGGGGCUCAACCCCGCGCCUGCAGUGGGUACGGGCAGACUAGAGUGCGGUAGGGGAGACUGGAAUUCCUGGUGUAGCGGUGGAAUGCGCAGAUAUCAGGAGGAACACCGGUGGCGAAGGCGGGUCUCUGGGCCGUUACUGACGCUGAGGAGCGAAAGCAUGGGGAGCGAACAGGAUUAGAUACCCUGGUAGUCCAUGCCGUAAACGUUGGGCACUAGGUGUGGGACCCAUUCCACGGGUUCCGUGCCGCAGCUAACGCAUUAAGUGCCCCGCCUGGGGAGUACGGCCGCAAGGCUAAAACUCAAAUGAAUUGACGGGG
rnacentral:rRNA from 1 species